rnacentral:lncRNA from 1 species
UUUUUUUUUUUGAGAUAGAGUUUUGCUCUUGUUGCUCAGGCUGCAGUGCAAUGGUGCGAUCUUUGCUCACUGCAACCUCCGCCUCCCAGGUUCAAGUGAUUCUCCUGCCUUGGCCUCCCAAGUAGCUGGGAUUACAGGCAUGCGCCACCAUGCCCAGCUAAUUCAUUUUGGCCCUCAAUUUUUUCAUUCUUAGGUGACACUGAAUUCUCAAUUAAAAUUUCUCAGAAUGUACAGCAAGAUUACAAAUUUAACUUCCAGAGCAAUUUUUCCCAAAUAUCUCAGUUUUAAACAUUAGUGCCCAUA